rnacentral:rRNA from 1 species
AAUAUUGCGCAAUGGACGGAAGUCUGACGCAGCGACGCCGCGUGAGCGAUGAAGGCCUNCGGGUCNUNUAGCUCUGUCCUUUGGGNCGAAGGUCUUCGGUCUUGACGGUACCCAAGCAGAAUGCCCCUGCUAACUACGUGCCAGCAGCCGCGGUAAUACGUAGGGGGCGAGCGUUGUCCGGAUUUACUGGGCGUAAAGGGUGCGUAGUCGGUCCUUUAAGUCAGAUGUGAAAGGCCACGGCGUAACCGUGGGAUUGCAUUUGAAACUGGAGGGCUUGAGUGUCGGAGAGGGUAGUGGAAUUCCCAGUGUAGCGGUGAAAUGCGUAGAUAUUGGGAGGAACACCAGUGGCGAAGGCGACUACCUGGACGAUAACUGACGCUGAGGCACGAAAGCUAGGGGAGCAAAC